rnacentral:rRNA from 1 species
CUACGGGAGGCUCCAGUGGGGAAUAUUGCACAAUGGGCGCAAGCCUGAUGCAGCAACGCCGCGUGAGGGAUGAAGGCCUUCGGGUUGUAAACCUCUUUUAGCAGGGAAGAAGCGAAAGUGACGGUACCUGCAGAAAAAGCACCGGCUAACUACGUGCCAGCAGCCGCGGUAAUACGUAGGGUGCAAGCGUUGUCCGGAAUUAUUGGGCGUAAAGAGCUCGUAGGCGGUUUGUCACGUCUGCUGUGAAAAUCCAAGGCUCAACCUUGGACUUGCAGUGGAUACGGGUAGGCUAGAGUGCGGUAGGGGAGAUGGGAAUUCCUGGUGUAGCGGUGGAAUGCGCAGAUAUCAGGAGGAACACCAAUGGCGAAGGCACAUCUCUGGGCCGUAACUGACGCUGAGGAGCGAAAGCGUGGGGAGCGAACAGGAUUAGAUACCCGCGUAGUC